rnacentral:rRNA from 1 species
GUCCAGACUCCUACGGGAGGCAGCAGUGGGGAAUAUUGCACAAUGGGGGAAACCCUGAUGCAGCGACGCCGCGUGAGUGAAGAAGUAUUUCGGUAUGUAAAGCUCUAUCAGCAGGGAAGAAAAUGACGGUACCUGACUAAGAAGCCCCGGCUAACUACGUGCCAGCAGCCGCGGUAAUACGUAGGGGGCAAGCGUUAUCCGGAUUUACUGGGUGUAAAGGGAGCGUAGACGGCAUGGCAAGUCAGAUGUGAAAGCCCGGGGCUCAACCCCGGGACUGCAUUUGAAACUGUCAGGCUGGAGUGCAGGAGAGGUAAGUGGAAUUCCUAGUGUAGCGGUGAAAUGCGUAGAUAUUAGGAGGAACACCAGUGGCGAAGGCGGCUUACUGGACUGUAACUGACGUUGAGGCUCGAAAGCGUGGGGAGCAAACAGGAUUAGAUACCCCAGUAAG